AGGGCAGGCGGGGGCCUGCCAGGAGCCUGGCAAGGAGCCCAGGCAGGGCAGGAAGAAGGUCCACUCGGCAGAGGAGGGGGCUGGACCUGCCUUUAAAUAGCUGGAAUCAAACACUUGAUGCCAAGAGCCAAUUCAUUGGAAAAGACCCUGAUGCUGGGGAAGAUUGAAGGCAGGAGAAGAGGGAGGCAGAGGAUGCGAUGGUUGGAUGGCAUCAGAUGGCAU